UAGGGAAUCUUGCACAAUGGGCGAAAGCCUGAUGCAGCAAUACCGCGUGAGUGAGGAAGGUCUUCGGAUUGUAAAGCUCUGUCAAUGGGGAAAAACGGCAUUUGUGCUAAUAGUACAAGUGAUUGAUGGUACCCAUAGAGGAAGCACCGGCAAACUUCGUGCCAGCAGCCGCGGUAAUACGAAGGGUGCAAGCGUUGUUCGGAUUUAUUGGGCGUAAAGCGCGUGUAGGCGGAACCUCAAGUCAGGUGUGAAAUCUCGGGGCUUAACCCCGAAAGUGCGCCUGAAACUAGGGAUCUAGAAUACUAGAGAGGGAAGGGGAAUUUCUCAUGUAGGGGUAAAAUCCGUAGAGAUGAGAAGGAACACCUGGGGCGAAAGCGCCUUCCUGGAUAGUCAUUGACGCUGAUACGCGAAAGCGUGGGGAGCAAACAGG
rnacentral:rRNA from 1 species